rnacentral:rRNA from 1 species
GAGUUCGAUCCUGGCUCAGGAUGAACGCUGGCGGCGUGCUUAACACAUGCAAGUCGAACGAAGCAGGAGGGCGUUCGCACCUUCCUGACUGAGUGGCGGACGGGUGAGUAACACGUGGAUAAUCUGCCCUGCACAGGGGGACAACAGCUAGAAAUGGCUGCUAAUACCGCAUAAGCCAACAGCCUCGCAUGAGGGAGUAGGAAAAGAAAUUCGGUGCAGGAUGAGUCCGCGUCUGAUUAGCUAGUUGGAGGGGUAAGAGCCCACCAAGGCAACGAUCAGUAGCCGGCCUGAGAGGGCGACCGGCCACAUUGGGACUGAGACACGGCCCAAACUCCUACGGGAGGCAGCAGUGGGGAAUAUUGCACAAUGGGGGGAACCCUGAUGCAGCGACGCCGCGUGAGCGAGGAAGUAUUUCGGUAUGUAAAGCUCUAUCAGCAGGGACGAAAAAAGACGGUACCUGACUAAGAAGCCCCGGCUAACUACGUGCCAGCAGCCGCGGUAAUACGUAGGGGGCAAGCGUUAUCCGGAUUUACUGGGUGUAAAGGGAGCGUAGACGGCAAGGCAAGCCAGAAGUGAAAGGGCAGGGCUCAACCCUGUACAUGCUUUUGGAACUGUGGUGCUAGAGUGCAGGAGAGGUAAGUGGAAUUCCUAGUGUAGCGGUGAAAUGCGUANAUAUUANGAGG